UUCUUUAGUCUUUUUUUUAAUAAGAAUUAUUGUUUGUGUUGAACUCUGAACUUAUGACGUCGGAGCGCGCGAGAGUCAAACUCACAAGAGCAGCAGCCAAGUUGACGUCGUUACAAAAAGAGAUUUUUACUUAUGGCCACCAAGGUUUUAUCACAUGUAAAACAGUUUUUUAAUACACUCAGGAAUCUUCUAGAAGAUGAGAACAACCAUUGUUGCACUUAUGAGGAUGACAUUCAAAUAUUGAAAAAGGAUGGGGAUAGAAUUGCAGUUCUGAAUUUAUUGGACUAUGGGCACCAGGAAGUCUUCAUUUGUGAAAAAGCUGUUCCAAAACUAAAUGACUCAGAUGAAGACUCGACGCUUGAGACAUCAAACUGCGCCGACAGCGUUGUUGCGUUGACUGCUCCUCAAACUCAACUGGCACCGCUGCCUCUCACCAUCACAAAAGCAAGGCAACUGCUGUCUUGGUACACAUUAUCUCAAAAUGCCAACAUUGAGGCUUUGGAUGAUCCUGUCCUACGACCUCUGUGGGUACGAUGUGACAUGUCGGAUCCAGCUCGUACCACCUGGUUAGGAGCUGAAGGUGUCUCCGUGGCCAAUAAAGUGGCUGGUGUCAAAUUAUAUUCUGUUACAUGCACAGGCCCCGUUGUACACAAAAAUGCUCUCAUGACUUUAGAGGAGCUAAAACGAGAGCACAAGAAAAGGCACUACUCAACAUCCACGUUGACAAUUAAAGGGAGUGCCCAGUUUAUCAUGUUUGGCUCCAUUGUGGUUGAAAACACAACAAUUGAAUCGCAAAGCAGCGUGACGGUGGAUUUCAAGUGGAACCACGUGGAGCGUGUACUCGAGACACCCCCGCUGUCCUCUACAGCGACAUUAAAUAUUAAAGUUGCCAGUGGAGACAAGAGAAGUCCCAUGUUUGAGGUGUUCAGGGAGCUGCAGUUUCUUCAGGUUCUUGCUGAUGGUUUAAGAACGGGUGAGGUGGAGUGGUUGACUCCUUUGGAAAGCAAGUCAGCAGUGGAUCUGACCAAGGAAUACAUUCAAGAGCUACAGAGUGUCAUAAAAUCACAACAGGAGCAGGAUUUUAAACCAACAGAGACAGACCCCAAAAGUGUCCAUCCAAUUUUCAACUCUUUCCUGGAACGAGACGGUUUGGAUUUUGUGGAGACGCUAUGGGUUCGCAUGAGAAAGAGUGUUGUUUGCUAUCAAGACAUCGUAGACAGCCUGAAAUUGGUCAUCGAGGCCCUGACUUACGGCUACAUCACGCCGUGGAUUCACCAAGACAAUCGCAGCACGCUCAGCAAGCUCAUCCUGCAGUCCUACAAUCAGAAGAUGGAGCACGUGUCGCUCACGGGCCUCACGCCUGUCCAAAUGUUGUUAGAAAUGGGCCUGAACAAGAUGGGAAAAGAUUACUUCAACUACCUUGUUGGGGAAGAAUUGACGUCGCCCAACAACUUGACUUAUUACCUGAACACAGAGGUGGAUCUGCAGGAGCAAUUUAUCCGCCUGAAGAAACUACACCAUCUCCUGGAAGUAAUUGUGACCUGCAGAACAUUUUUAGAUUUGCCCUAUGACAGACUCUUCCUGCUCACACAGUUGUGUUUACAGCAUUACAAAACAUCCCCCUAUGAUGAAACACACGAGUUCAAACUGCAAAUCAAACCGACGUUGAUCACUCAAUUCUACCAGAAUGAGGCUCCAGUUGUGUGGGGAGUGGAAGUGUCCAGUGGGCAAGGGCCUGACAAGGUCAAGACGUCCUUACAGGUCAGCGACAGACCGCUGGUUGAUCACGUCUUCUUCAAACCUGAUCAUACAAAUGUAACAGAGGACAAGCCUGUCUGCUUUUCAACUUUGGUGUGCUGCAGCCUUGUCAACUUUGCUUGAAUUUGCACAGAAAUAGAAGAGCAGACUGACCUGCAGCAAGGAGCUGGUUACUUGAUGAGCAGGUCUCCACGGCCUUCCUCCUCCAGUUUUCAACCUGUAGAGUUGUUCCGGAAAUAUUCUUCAGAUGAAUACAGUCACAAAUUAAGAGCGUCAGCUUGACUUGAUAUUUGGCGACACCUCGUGCUGAACAACAGUAACGAGCACCCGCUACUGAAGUGCAAGUCUCAACUUACAAGGUGCAAUGUGGGCAAAGGUUUGGAUGAGUGGAGAGAGGGGGGGAGAACCUGGACAGCUGAAGGAAGUGGAACGAGAUGCUUGCUCAAGGAGAACUCUCGACUUUCACAGCAGAGGGAAAAUAAAAGUUCCUCUGGAUGGAAAUUUUGAUGCUAGCUUUGGCUGUGGAGAUUGCCUUUCUAAAAGACGCACAUCUGCCAUCCUCCACGCUGAUGAGGAGAAUGCAUUUGCAACAGGUGCCCGUAACACAUCGCAGGCGUGAUGGCCUCCGUGUCCUCCCGCUGUAACCUCCCUGUGGCUCAAAGCCCCCCCCCCCAAGGAAACAUGACUCCCGUGCGGACACUGGCACCCACGCGGGUGCAACCCUGAGAGCUUCAAAGAUGAUCCUGGUGACGGCGGUGAGCAUGUGCGCACAAAAUACACGAUCGCGGCUGAAAAUAACACAGCUACUUUUCAAGCACGUUUCAUUAUGACAUCGCCAUUAGGAUACAGGAUUUUUUAACAAAUUCAAUACAAUAUGAAGUAAUUGGAACUCAUAGAUACUAUCAAUAAAAUAUCAUCAACAUUCUUGACGGCCUCACAAGUGUAAAAAGAAGUUAAAGCCUUUUAAUAGUAAAGCAGACAUUCUCUCUUCACCUGAUAAGUUGAUGCCCCAAAAUGUUGGUUCAAGCCAAAAUGAUAUGUUGAUCUCAGGGUCUUCAAAGAUGAUUCCACUGUACACUGUGACUUUUUCCAAGCAGGGGUCGCCAGCCAAUUCAUACACUUGAACUCUUUCCCCCCGAGCAUCUUGUUACUGCGACUUGGCCGGCGUCUCUGCCACGCUGAUUCUCGAGCCAGGACACCGUCCGUACCUAUUGCGACCAGAUUACAUUGACUUUCACUCUGGUCGGUCAUGGAAUAGUUGGAGAGAGUGGUGACCGGUGGUGCCAGUGUCAAACUUUCUUUGAGCAAGAAACUUAACCUCAAGUGGUUCCUGGUGACCUUUUGACCUUUGACUUCAGUGAGUGGAUCUAAUUGUGGCUCGUAAUAUUGACUCUACUGUAUAUCUGACUACAAGUUACAUAAGCGAAUUUGUAAAGAUGGCGUUCCGUCUUUUGUUUUUAUUUAUAUGAAAACAUACGCAAGACUAAUCAUUCACAUGUUGAGGUGAUCUUAAAGAAAAUUUAAAUGUGAGACUUCACAUCCUCUUUUUUUUUCAGAUUUCCAGAAUAGUAAUAUAAUUAUAUAUUUUGUCAUGUAUAUGGAUUAUGGUUAAGUACCAGGUGAUUUUUUUUUUUUCCAAAACAUCACAGCUAUAAAUAACAUUUCAUGGUCAAAUUCAUAUUGCACAAGCUUGUAGGGGUUAAACUUAAAAACAAAAAUAGUUGAAUACUUUUUGUUUUUCUUCAAUACUCCAUUUUUUGUUGAGUCACUUUUGUUGUGUUGACUAUCAAGUCUCAAGCAGCAAAUGGUGACCCUUCGCUGGCCUCCCGCCCACAAACACUGCUAAUUGUGUUUGUUCAAACCUACGGUGGAAACGCUGCUGUUCGCAAUCAAAUUUCAGCUCAGGUGGUGUGGGAGAGCUUGACCCCUGCAUGCCCCUUUACAAAAAUGACAUCCACGAAGAAUACGGCCCGGUUCCUGCGUUUAACCCGCACUAAACUUAUUUGCUCAUUAUAACAACAUUGAAAAUGAUCUGCCGCUAACACCCACGAGUACACAAAUCAAAUGCGAGACUCGUUCACUACUUCUGACUGGAUCCUUCUACUUCGAUGAUCAUUAAAAUUGCACUUGGGUUAUUAGUUCCAGCAAUGUCUUUUCAUCAGUGACUAAAUGUACAUGUCACCCUUUUAAAACCCAAAUAUAAUAAUCAGGGUUUUGAAGUCCACAUAAAAGCAUGCAAGAACAAAAAUAUGAUUUUUUUAAAUUCCAAAUAAGACCGUUGAUGCAUGUAAACGUGUUAUUCGGGUAUGAAAGAGCCACAAAAAAAAUUAUCUUUGGGGGG